rnacentral:lncRNA from 1 species
UCCCUGCUGCGGCGGGGAGGGGCGGCUAGCCGCGACGGCGGCGGACGGAGGGGGAGGGCCGCGAGCCUUCGGAACCAGCCUCGAGGGUGCUGAACCCCGCGCGCCCGCCUCGCCGCGGCCCCCGGGUGGGGGCGUCCACGGCCCGGGUUCCCGGCGGGCUUGGGGCAGGGACGCAGUCCGGAGAUUCCGGGACUGCCCGGCUGCUGCAGCCCGCAGGCUCCUCUCUCCUCCCCGCUUCCCCUCCGCACUGCCUGGGCUAAAGGCGGCCAAGCUGAGGCUCCGAAAGAAAGUAAGUAAGAGUGGGCCGUAGGAGGUGGGAAGGGAGGGACCCCUUCCAGGGCCAUCCCCACCUCAGCCCCCCGGCCCGCCCCUCGCCCCGUGGGAGGGUGAACUAAGUGGGCUGGAGCGGACGGGAGGGAGCUUUUGGGCCCCUUUGUCUCCCCCAGCCGCACUGACACCCCCAUUUUCCACACUGAUUUUCAACGUGAAGCUCAAGUCCUCAAAGAUCUUUCUUGGGGUCUGACUUAGAGGCAGGGGGACAUCCCAGAUGCCGUUGAGUAGGCUGAGAUGGUUUGGAGACUCAUCCUCGCCGGAGGUCCUGCAAGCCACUGAAGUGGCACAGACGCGUGUGCGCGGAGUGGGGCGGUGUGUCGGGCCACAGGCCAAGCCCAAGUCGGCCUCCCAGAGUGUUUGCCACGGUUUGGGCGGAGGGAAAAUUGCAACCCUUGCCUACAACCAGACUGACAGCAUAAUUUCUUAGGAAUCAAGAAUCAAUACAGGGUUAUUUCUUUAGAUUAAACCUUAAAAGCCCCCUUGGAGGCUGAAGAAGCAGAGGAUAGCCAUGCAUACACUUGAACGUGAAAAAUGGUCCUCUUUCAUUGGAGAGGUCUUCCUCUUCAGCUAAACCGACAGAGUGGUGAAAAGAAGAAGGGACCCCUUGUUGACCAAAAUAAUCCAGACAAAUCAAAUCGGCCCUUUCCAGCAAGGAGUGGAACAGCCCAAGGGUGGCUAGAUCACAUCUUCUGCUCACACCACCACUGAGCAACCCUCUCCAGGACUGCCACCUAUGCAUAGGUCAUGCCCUGUGCAAGAGCACAUAAAGUGGGAGCUGAAGUCCUGCCCAGGCUCCAUUCACCAAGCAGAGCUUAUGUUGUUGUGUGUCUGUGUCUACCCAGAGGAUGUGGGUCCUUUUUAAAAUGUGCACCAAUGCAUCUUGUAUGAGCUGGCACCAGCUCGGACCAUCCCACCCUCAUACCCUGGUCCUAUCCAGGGUUAUAUUCCCUACUUUAGAAGAAUUAAUUAUUUUUAUGAACGUAUUUAGUUUAUUGUAAAAAAUGAAAUAUAUGACACAAAUUGAAAUUAAUUUCAGAGGUAAAGGUCAGAAUAUUACCAUGUAUGUGAAUUAUGUUUGUAUGUAUAUGUAUAUAUCAAGAGAGUUAUAUGAAUAUACAUUUUUGUGUAUCAGAAGUGAGGACAAUUUAACUUUGUUAAGUGUUUGAAAUAAAAUUAUUUUGAGUUUU